rnacentral:lncRNA from 1 species
AUUAAAAGCGUUUUUAAGUAGAAACAUAAACUGUUAUUGAAAAUAUCUUUUUUUUUUUAUCUUAUUCAUUGAUGAAUCUUAUGUUAAAAAAUGAAUGUUUACCAACUUUAUAACCAUUAUAACAUGAUCUGCUAUGGUAAACAUUGACUGGUAUAUCGUCAAGAACAUGCAUGAAGUAAAUCUUACUGGAAAAAAUAAUAACCUUUAUUAAUAAGUCAAGUAUAAGGCAUAUUCGAAAACAAGAUCAUGUUUAAAUAUAAAUGAAGCAGAAAAGGUUGUCUGCUCAAUUCAUAUUCUAGCUCAACAAUAAAUCCUUAUAUUUUUUUAUAUUUAAUAAAAGUUUUUCAUCAAAUAAUGACGUCUGUAUCCCUCCUCAUUUUGUUUUAGUCUUGAACGUUUAUUGGAAUUUAACAUGCGCAUAUCGCAUUUACUUCAAAAUGUAUACUCCAUUGAAAUAAAUAGUUUUAAAAAAGCCAAUGGAACAUCCCCAUUGAAACAAAAGAAGCAAAUUAAACAUUCCUUACGCUGAAUUUACAAUAAUGAAUCGGAACACCACCGACGAAUCUUGUGUCUUUAUACUGUGACAUGUUGUUGGUAAACAUGUUAAAAUUUGAGACCCCAUAGGCACCACAUCUUGUUUUAAUCAUGUUUAUAAUUCAUAUAAAAAUAAAAAAAUGUGAUAUGAUUGAAAAUGAAACAACUCUCAACCAGAGACCAAAUUACGUAGAGGUUGACAAAUAAAAGUCACCGUACGGCCUUCGACAUUAAGCAAAACUGACACAUUAUAGCAAGCUAUAAAAGGCCCGAUAUUUAUCAAUGUAACUAUAAUUUGAACGGUUUGUGUGUGUAUUUUUGUGUGUAUUUUUGUUGAGCAUGUACUGAUUAAGUGUCAUGGAUGGAUACCCUGUAUCCUUUUUUUUUUCUGAUAUAUAUUGUAUUGUUUUAUUCAUUCCGAACCGAAUAAAAUUGUAUUUUUAUUUUAUCUAUUUUUUUGUGUAUCUAUACUAUUAAACGAGAAGACCUCAUUUUGUGUGUCGCUUCUCUUCCUCCCACAAUAAAUUAAUUGUGUCCUAUAGGUAACAUGCAUAGUCGCAUUUGUCAUCCAUUCUUAUGAUCAUUCAGAUUGAGUAAUUU